rnacentral:lncRNA from 1 species
AUGAGACACAGUCUUGAAUAUUUCUUGUAAACUUGUCUUUUGUUUUAUUUUGUUUCCAUUUAGUUGUAUUGUAUUUAGAGAGGGCCAACCUCCCACUGUCCACAUCUGCUUUCAAUUCACAAGCAGUUGGUCAAAAACAGAGAAAAUAUUGGAACCUCUGUGUAUUUUCCUUCCUUUUCUGAGCUCUCAGAGAAAGAGCCUUAAUGUGACCUCUAUCUCAUAAUGCUUCACAC